AGAAGAUUAGGUACCAAAUAAAUAUAUAUUUGGAAACUUAAGAGAAUGAACUACAACUUUUGUAGCAAAAUUAUAAUUUUAUCAAGCCACUAAGUUCACCUAAAACGCAACUCAAAGCAGCACUUCUGAAUCUACCUAACAGCCCAGGCACUAAUAUAUAAAAAUUCAUAUCUCCUAAACUAUGCAACCACAAAUUAUGAAAUUUUGCUGGCAGUAAGAACUUUUUUCCCUCUACAAAAGUCUCCAUACUUGGAACAGCCAAUUCGGCCAUUUACUAGAUGAAAAGCACCGACGAACAGACCUACUCAAUCUGCCAAACAUGAACAGUCAUAAUAAUCCGGCCAUAUCUCAAGUUCUACUCCAUAAAAAAUUGCAAUUAAAUAUAAUUUGGAAAUAUUAUUAAGUUACUCUAAAACUUUCUAAUCUAUCUCAGGACUCAAUUUGGCACCUAACAUAUCCAAAACCCAUGCCCUAGAUAGACUGCCAAAUCUGCCAGGAAACCGCAACUAGAAACGAAGUUAAACUCCAAUCCAACCUCUAAUCCUCUAAUCCUUUACAGCCAAAACCUCCAAAAACACUUGAUUACAGGGGAAGAAGAUGGAUUCCACUCUUACCUAAGGCUUCCCCGUGAAAAUUCACAAGGGGAGAUUGGGGAAAACACCGAUCUAGCAUAUCUCCUCGAUCCUCUCUUCCUCUUCAAUCCAUCUUACUUCUUCUCUUCUCGUUCCUUGCUGCAAUAGAGGAGAUCUAGAGGGGGAAGGGAGAAGUGAAGAGAGGAUGAGGCGUGUUGGGGAAGGGGUCAUGAGGAGGGGGAAGGGGGCGGCGCUAGGGUCAGAUAGAAGCGGAUGGAGGUAAGGGUUACGUGCCUUCUCUAUUUUUCUUGAUUCAUCUCAUCCUUCAUUCUUGGGUUGCACAAAACUUUAUGAUAUUAAAUCUGAAUACUACAUGUGAGUAGUCAAACGAAUUACUUUCGAGGAUAUCUACGCAUCCGCAGUCACCGAUUUUCUAUAUGAACUGUGGAUUAAAAAGUCAACUUUUGCCCCUUUUACACUUUCUAACAUAGAAGGUGUAUUUUGUUCAAAAGUACAUUCUAUUAGUUCAUAGACAACCAAUUAUAAAAAUAAUGAAUUCAAAUAUCUUAUGAACUAUACUCCAUUAAUGGCACUUCAAUUUCUAGGUCGUUACAGGCACCCUCACCAUUACCAUCCCCUGCAGCUGCGCAUGACAUUGGCAUGGCCAUGUGUCACCAAGGAGCCCUUAGUCCACCUCAUGUUGCUUUCUUUUCC
rnacentral:lncRNA from 1 species